UGGGGGAUAUUGCACAAUGGGGGAAACCCUGAUGCAGCGACGCCGCGUGGAGGAAGAAGGUUUUCGGAUUGUAAACUCCUGUCGUUAGGGACGAUAAUGACGGUACCUAACAAGAAAGCACCGGCUAACUACGUGCCAGCAGCCGCGGUAAAACGUAGGGUGCAAGCGUUGUCCGGAAUUACUGGGUGUAAAGGGAGCGUAGGCGGGAUCGCAAGUCAGAUGUGAAAACUAUGGGCUUAACCCAUAAACUGCAUUUGAAACUGUGGUUCUUGAGUGAAGUAGAGGUAAGCGGAAUUCCUAGUGUAGCGGUGAAAUGCGUAGAUAUUAGGAGGAACAUCAGUGGCGAAGGCGGCUUACUGGGCUUUAACUGACGCUGAGGCUCGAAAGCGUGGGGAGCAAACAGGAUUAGAUACCCUGGUAGUCCACGCCGUAAACGAUGAUUACUAGGUGUGGGGGGACUGACCCCUUCCGUGCCGCAGCAAACGCAAUAAGUAAUCCACCUGGGGAGUACGACCGCAAGGUUGAAACUCAAAGGAAUUGACGGGGGCCCGCACAAGCAGUGGAGUAUGUGGAUUAAUUCGAAGCAACGCGAAGAACCUUACCAGGUCUUGACAUCGUAUGCAUAGCUCAGAGAUGAGUGAAAUCUCUUCGGAGACAUAUAGACAGGUGGUGCAUGGUUGUCGUCAGCUCGUGUCGUGAGAUGUUGGGUUAAGUCCCGCAACGAGCGCAACCCUUACUGUUAGUUGCUACGCAAGAGCACUCUAGCAGGACUGCCGUUGACAAAACGGAGGAAGGUGGGGAUGACGUCAAAUCAUCAUGCCCCUUAUGACCUGGGCCUCACACGUACUACAAUGGCUGUAAACAGAGGGAAGCAAAGCCGCGAGGUAGAGCGAACCCCUAAAAGCAGUCUUAGUUCGGAUUGUAGGCUGCAACCCGCCUACAUGAAGUCGGAAUUGCUAGUAAUCGCAGAUCAGCAUGCUGCGGUGAAUACGUUCCC
rnacentral:rRNA from 1 species